CAAACUCCAUGUAACCUGCUGUGUCUCCUCUUGCCAAUCCCGCCCUUCCCAACACUUCCUGCUGCCAUUUUUUCCUCACUUUGCCGCUCUUUCCUUUCUUUUUUUUUUUUUUUUUGGUUGUUUUGUUUUGUUUUUUUUCUCUUUUCUUUUGCCUGCAUGCUGCUUUGAUUUGCAUUUCUCCAUGGUGUGAUGUGUUAAUGGAAAGGAUGGCAACGCGGUGUGUUUGCCAAAAAUUUAAUACAAAGCACUGAUUUAGCUUCCGAGGUAAAAAUGUUGAGAUUCCUCCUAACCCCCCUAGGCCUGUCCGUCACUAGUGGUCCCCUCCUCCCUCAUAGCCCCGGCCUUCCCCCCAUAUGGAAGAGUUAUUUGCAUGCACUAGUUUCUAUGGAGGGUGAUGUGGUUGUCUACUUUCUGUGUAUGAAUAUAACCUGGAUUCCCAAACUGACAGCAGUUCAUUAACACGAGCCCAGCUCCUUCCCCGCCGGCCGCUCCGAGGGCUGCGGGGCCGGGCCAAGGAUGAGAGGGACUGGAUGGAAAGAGAAGGAAAGGAAACAAACCAGCCGGCGGGCAGUUUAAUUUAUUACCUCCCUGGAAACUUUCCGCUUGCCGGUGUCUGCAGCCGCGCUGGGCCAGCCCUGCUCCGGAUCCCGGAGGGUGAUUCCAGCCGGGCUGAUCCCGGGAUGGAGCGGGGAAUCCCUGCCGGGAUGGAGCGGUGAUCCCGGCCGGGCUCCUCCCGGGAUGGAGCGGUGAUCCCGGCCGGGAUGGAGCACGGUGAUCCCGGCCGGGCUCAUCCCGGGAUGGAGCGGUGAUCCCGGCCGGGAUGAUCCCGGGACGGAGCGGUGAUCCCUCCCGGGAUGGAGCGGUGAUCCCGGCCUGGCUCCUCCCGGGAUGGAGCGAUGAUCCCUCCCGGGAUGGAGCGGUGAUCCCGGCCUGGCUCCUCCCGGGAUGGAGCGGUGAUCCCUCCCGGGAUGGAGCGGUGAUCCCGGCCGGGCUCAUCCCGGGAUGGAGCGGUGAUCCCGGCCGGGAUGAUCCCGGGAUGGAGCGGCCGUUCCAGCGCUCCCUGCCGCUCCUGCCGCUGUCCCCGGCCGUGCUGGCCCUGUCCUGCCGCUGUCCCCGGCCGUGCUGGCCCUGUCCUGCCGCUGUCCCCGGCCGUGCUGGCCCUGUCCUGCCGCUGUCCCCGGCCGUGCUGGCCCUGUCCUGCCGCUGUCCCCGGCCCCGGGCCCUGUCCUGCCGCUGUCCCGGGACUGUCCCCGCUCCGCCCCGGCCGCAGUCGCUAACGCUGAGUGAAUUUGAAUGAAAUGACGGUGUUUGAACCCGGAGCUCCCGGGCGGGGACUUCCCGAGGUGUGUCCCUGUCCCUCUGUAUUCGGCAUUUUGUCCCCGAGCGUGUUAACCCUUUCCAGGCGAGCGGCUGCUGAGCUCGGGCUCAGCCUUGUACAGAGUCCGGCCGCUUUCAGCUAAAUCUGCACUUUCUAACGUGAUCAAAAAGGGAAAAAAAAAAUAAAUACGGCGAAAUCUACAUCAAGGGGGAUUUUCAUGUACAAUCCUUGUUUUAAACGUGAGCUUUUUUUCUCUUCUGUCCGAGCUCAGCUGCCCCCGCGGGCUCAGGCGGGGCGGCACCGGGAGGAGGGAGCAGCACGCUGCUGAAACAGAUAAAAACCCCCUAAAAAUAAUAAUAACAUGAAUAAUAAUGAUGAUAUCGGAGGAGUUUGCAGUAACCUGAUGUCUGCUGGUAUCUCAGCUCCCUGCUAGUUCCGAACUAACCUUGUGAAACCUCUGCUUGGAAGCCCGGCCCAGCCCUGUGGAGUAGAGAAGGGGUCAGCAGCCCCUCCGUGCCCCCGGCCCCGCCCGCGGAGGGAGCUCAGCGCUGCCCUUUUGUCACCAAAAAAGCGUUAAACGAUGAAAUUGGUCCUGCUAAACCAAACCCGAGCUUGGCUCUGUCCCACGGCCGCGUCACACGCCGGGCUCGCCCUCGGACUCGGACGGUGGAAAAAAAACAAAACAGCAUCAAGGUCUCGGAUUAAUUCCCAUGCCGACAAUUUUUUACUUAAUCUUUUAAUAUUUUUGCUACUCCACUCUGGCUUUUUAUUUAAAACACAUUCUUUUGUACCACUUACUGUAUCAAAUUGUAUAAAAGAUCACUGUCCCAUUCUUGGUCGUACCAAGAGCAAAUAAAAGCUUUUAUAAACUUGCA
ensembl:lncRNA